rnacentral:rRNA from 1 species
UACGUAGGGUGCGAGCGUUAAUCGGAAUUACUGGGCGUAAAGCGUGCGCAGGCGGUGAGCUGUGUCCGAUGUGAAAGCCCCGGGCUUAACCUGGGAAUGGCAUUGGAAACUGGCUCGCUGGAGUGUGGCAGAGGGGGGUGGAAUUCCGCGUGUAGCAGUGAAAUGCGUAGAGAUCGGGAGGAACACCAGUGGCGAAGGCGGCACCCUGGACCAGCACUGACACUGAGGCACGAAAGCGUGGGGAGCAAACAGG